GGGUUCUAUGGGCUCAGGAAAGUGACUGUACCUUAUUUCAGUGAUCAUCAGAACCUGUUUGUUCUUAUUUAGGAGGAACUAAUUUAACAUGCUGUUGGCCAUUUUGGCCAGUUAGUGCAUUGCAGUGGGAGGUGUAGCGAAGAUGUCCUCUCAUGUGGGAGGUCAUACCAACAUACAGGGAGUGGCGGUACCUGGGUCGGCCAGGGGCUCUGGGACAUGGCUCGCAGCUCAGAGUUUGUCAGUGCACUCACUAACCACACAUGAAAGACUAGGUCACCCCGUUUAGCAUCAGGAUACCUGGGGAGUUGAAUUACUCAACAGCAGGUUUGGAAUCAGAACAAAGUGAGAUGGAUGAUCUCAAAAGAUGUAGUUUACCCAGUCCUUGAAAGGUCAAGCCUAACUGAGGUUACCUCUCUAGUGACUGUCAUAUAACUGUAUGUGUUCUGCUCCCUUGAGCUAUAACUCUGUGACAUCACAGUAGCCUGCAUUUCUGAUGAAAGCAGGUGUAGUGCAGCAUGAACUCUGAAGGCGGAGCCUGGCUCACUGUCCUGUGCUGUGAUUGGAGUUUGAUGUCACAGAUUCUCCUAAGAGCCCUCGACUGGAGGUGGGCCACACUAGCAUGGCUUCCAGCACCCAGGGGUGAUCGGGAGUCCCUCUCCAGCUGCUGAUGCUGACAGCACAAGGAGUAAUGCCUCCACUGCUCAGGCCGCUCAGCUCGCUGGACAGAAGCAAAGGUAGCAGCGGUAAGACCCCUCCACGGGGCCCCGGUGCUGAGCCGCCAGCUUGCGCGCUCCUCCUGCAGCUCCCCAGCAGGCUGCUCCUGCCCCUCCCUGCUGCCAUGUCUCUGCGGCUCCCACAGCAGCUCAAGCCAGGGCUGCCGGCACAGCACCAAGGUCCGGGAAAGACCCAACCACUGGCCAUGCCCCUCGAGUCCCUCCUGCCGGGCCAGCUCUCAGGGCCCCAGCAACCUGUGCAGCCAGCACUCCAUGUCCAGGCCCAGCGCAGGCAGUGUGCCAGUAUUCAGCGGGAGCUCUCCCUACAGCCCUGGGCAGGCCAGUCCUUGCCAGGCCCCACAUGCCAUCAGGCCAGAGUGUCCUCUGGUUGUGCUAUUAAAGAUUUGUGUUUAUGUGCAUUCCCAGUAAGUUCAAAGGAGUAGUUCUCAUUUGUGAAAUGUUUUUCACUAUUAAUCACUUAAAAUUAAAUGGUUAGGGUUAUAGGACAGCAUUUUGCCAAAGGUUCUAGUGGAAUAGAAAAUGUCAUGAGCUAUCUGAGCUGCAGAGUCUGCUGGCCUUGUGAGUAAUUGGCUGUUUCCUGGACUGUGGCACCAACACGGCCGUCGCCAGAUGCUGCCCAGGCUGCUCCGUGGCAUCUGGUGGCACACUGCCUGCUUGGUCUCCUCCACCCUCGACACACCAUCCAUCUGUCCUGUGCAGACAGACAGCACCCCCCACCUCCCAGCAAGCAACAACUGAUGUCUCCUUUAGUAUCCAGACUAGCAGGCCUAGCGGGGGGCCUCAUUCCCCAGGGCUCAGGACACAGCCCACACUGCAGCGGUCUGUCCACUGGACAGCCCCCAGGGCAAAAUUGCAGAGCAGAUACAGCUGGUAAGAAAGUUUAGUUCUCAGUGGGAUGAGUAGUUUUUUAUUAAGCUGCUUAGAGAAAUGUGGAAAUUGAAGUCUCUGCAUAUACUUUUCAAUAUGGCAGACUGUAAUGGAAGAGUUCUUUUGAAAAUUAGUCCUCUCCGUGUAGCUCGUGCUUCUUUGGCUAGCCCGCUCAGAGUUAAGAGCCGGGCGGGAUCGAAAGGUCUAAACAGUGCAUGAAGCGCAGAGCUCCCUCAAGCGUCCUGCCUGCAUGGUUUACAUCUGUCCCUCUUCCCGACCUUGCCAGCAUCCCCCUUGUUUUGUUAGCCCACCUUUCCUCCCCUUUCCUGCUCCUUUUCUUGUCAUUAUUUCUGCUUGGUGCCGGGCCACACUGCAUGUGUCGUCAUGUUUAAGCCUGGGAGCAGGGGUGAGACGGGAGGGGACACGGAGGCUUCUGGUGCUUGGGGUGAUUUUGGUGCUUGGUCAGCAAAGAUGGUAUUAGUUUUACCUUUGAGGUUUAUUUCUUCAAUGCCACCCUACGUUUAGAAUAAAUACCAAUUGUAGAGGUAAUUCUGGCUGGUU
rnacentral:lncRNA from 1 species